UUUGGUUAAGUUAGAAAGGGCGCACGGUGGAUGCCUUGACACUAGGAGUCGAUGAAGGACGGGACUAACGCCGAUAUGCUUCGGGGAGCUGUAAGUAAGCUUUGAUCCGAAGAUUUCCGAAUGGGGAAACCCACCAUACGUAAUGGUAUGGUAUCCUUAUCUGAAUACAUAGGGUAAGGAAGACAGACCCAGGGAACUGAAACAUCUAAGUACCUGGAGGAAGAGAAAGCAAAUGCGAUUUCCUGAGUAGCGGCGAGCGAAACGGAACAUAGCCCAAACCAAGAGGCUUGCCUCUUGGGGUUGUAGGACAUUCUAUACGGAGUUACAAAGGAACGAGGUAGACGAAGCGACCUGGAAAGGUCCGUCGUAGAGGGUAACAACCCCGUAGUCGAAACUUCGUUCUCUCUUGAAUGUAUCCUGAGUACGGCGGAACACGUGAAAUUCCGUCGGAAUCUGGGAGGACCAUCUCCCAAGGCUAAAUACUCCCUAGUGAUCGAUAGUGAACCAGUACCGUGAGGGAAAGGUGAAAAGCACCCCGGAAGGGGAGUGAAAGAGAUCCUGAAACCGUGUGCCUACAAAUAGUCAGAGCCCGUUAACGGGUGAUGGCGUGCCUUUUGUAGAAUGAACUGGCGAGUUACGAUCCCGUGCGAGGUUAAGCUGAAGAGGCGGAGCCGCAGCGAAAGCGAGUCUGAAUAGGGCGUUUAGUACGUGGUCGUAGACCCGAAACCAGGUGAUCUACCCAUGUCCAGGGUGAAGUUCAGGUAACACUGAAUGGAGGCCCGAACCCACGCACGUUGAAAAGUGCGGGGAUGAGGUGUGGGUAGCGGAGAAAUUCCAAUCGAACCUGGAGAUAGCUGGUUCUCCCCGAAAUAGCUUUAGGGCUAGCCUUAAGUGUAAGAGUCUUGGAGGUAGAGCACUGAUUGGACUAGGGGUCCUCAUCGGAUUACCGAAUUCAGUCAAACUCCGAAUGCCAAUGACUUAUCCUUAGGAGUCAGACUGCGAGUGAUAAGAUCCGUAGUCAAAAGGGAAACAGCCCAGACCGCCAGCUAAGGUCCCAAAGUGUGUAUUAAGUGGAAAAGGAUGUGGAGUUGCUUAGACAACUAGGAUGUUGGCUUAGAAGCAGCCACCAUUUAAAGAGUGCGUAAUAGCUCACUAGUCGAGUGACUCUGCGCCGAAAAUGUACCGGGGCUAAAUACACCACCGAAGCUGCGGAUUGAUACCAAUGGUAUCAGUGGUAGGGGAGCGUUCUAAGGACAGUGAAGUCAGACCGGAAGGACUGGUGGAGUGCUUAGAAGUGAGAAUGCCGGUAUGAGUAGCGAAAGACGGGUGAGAAUCCCGUCCACCGAAUGCCUAAGGUUUCCUGAGGAAGGCUCGUCCGCUCAGGGUUAGUCAGGACCUAAGCCGAGGCCGACAGGCGUAGGCGAUGGACAACAGGUUGAUAUUCCUGUACCACCUCUUUAUCGUUUGAGCAAUGGAGGGACGCAGAAGGAUAGAAGAAGCGUGCGAUUGGUUGUGCACGUCCAAGCAGUUAGGCUGAUAAGUAGGCAAAUCCGCUUAUCGUGAAGGCUGAGCUGUGAUGGGGAAGCUCCUUAUGGAGCGAAGUCUUUGAUUCCCCGCUGCCAAGAAAAGCUUCUAGCGAGAUAAAAGGUGCCUGUACCGCAAACCGACACAGGUAGGCGAGGAGAGAAUCCUAAGGUGUGCGAGAGAACUCUGGUUAAGGAACUCGGCAAAAUGACCCCGUAACUUCGGGAGAAGGGGUGCUUUCUUAACGGAAAGCCGCAGUGAAUAGGCCCAAGCGACUGUUUAGCAAAAACACAGCUCUCUGCGAAGCCGUAAGGCGAAGUAUAGGGGGUGACACCUGCCCGGUGCUGGAAGGUUAAGGAGAGGGGUUAGCGUAAGCGAAGCUCUGAACUGAAGCCCCAGUAAACGGCGGCCGUAACUAUAACGGUCCUAAGGUAGCGAAAUUCCUUGUCGGGUAAGUUCCGACCCGCACGAAAGGUGUAACGAUUUGGGCACUGUCUCAACCAGAGACUCGGUGAAAUUAUAGUACCUGUGAAGAUGCAGGUUACCCGCGACAGGACGGAAAGACCCCGUGGAGCUUUACUGUAGCCUGAUAUUGAAUUUUGGUACAGUUUGUACAGGAUAGGCGGGAGCCUUUGAAACCGGAGCGCUAGCUUCGGUGGAGGCGCUGGUGGGAUACCGCCCUGACUGUAUUGAAAUUCUAACCUACGGGUCUUAUCGACCCGGGAGACAGUGUCAGGUGGGCAGUUUGACUGGGGCGGUCGCCUCCUAAAGUGUAACGGAGGCGCCCAAAGGUUCCCUCAGAAUGGUUGGAAAUCAUUCGUAGAGUGCAAAGGCAUAAGGGAGCUUGACUGCGAGACCUACAAGUCGAGCAGGGACGAAAGUCGGGCUUAGUGAUCCGGUGGUUCCGCAUGGAAGGGCCAUCGCUCAACGGAUAAAAGCUACCCCGGGGAUAACAGGCUUAUCUCCCCCAAGAGUCCACAUCGACGGGGAGGUUUGGCACCUCGAUGUCGGCUCAUCGCAUCCUGGGGCUGUAGUCGGUCCCAAGGGUUGGGCUGUUCGCCCAUUAAAGCGGUACGCGAGCUGGGUUCAGAACGUCGUGAGACAGUUCGGUCCCUAUCCGUCGUGGGCGUAGGAAAUUUGAGAGGAGCUGUCCUUAGUACGAGAGGACCGGGAUGGACGCACCGCUGGUGUACCAGUUGUUCUGCCAAGGGCAUAGCUGGGUAGCUAUGUGCGGAAGGGAUAAGUGCUGAAAGCAUCUAAGCAUGAAGCCCCCCUCAAGAUGAGAUUUCCCAUAGCGUAAGCUAGUAAGAUCCCUGAAAGAUGAUCAGGUUGAUAGGUUCGAGGUGGAAGCAUGGUGACAUGUGGAGCUGACGAAUACUAAUAGAUCGAGGACUUAACCAUAUAA
rnacentral:rRNA from 1 species